AGCAAAUGCUUGAGAAAGAAAGCAGUGUUCAGAACAAGUAGAAUGGAAAGAAAUUAGGAAUGGGAGUAGUGCAGAGCAGCUUGAACUAAUGCACUGGGAAUGGAAAUGAGAGAACAGGCAAAACAUUUGAGAAAGUCGAUUUGAAAAGGCAGAUUGUUUAUGUUGAUCUUCAGGAAUUUUACUGGGAUAAUUAUCCAAAUAAAUUGCAAGCAUUCUAUCCAAAUGGACAUCCAUAAAAAUUCAUCAGAGAGCAUUUUACUACUGAGCUGCAAAGAUGACAAGAGCACCUCAAAGGCAGCAGCCUCAAGGAGCAGCCAUGGCCCCAGACUUGUCGCACGGAUGCAGAAAACUUAAUGGAGGAGGCUGAGCAAAACAGAGCGUGACACUCCCAAUCAUCUGCAUGCUGGAAAUGAGGAAAUGGUUAUUGAAUGAUACAAGUGCUUUUCGAUCAUUUAGAAAGUUCUGUUUCCCAAGAUCUUUUUUUUUUUUUUUUUU
rnacentral:lncRNA from 1 species